rnacentral:rRNA from 2 species
ACACAUGCAAGUCGAACGAAGCUUGACGGAUGAUUUCUUCGGAAUGAAACUGAUAUGACUUAGUGGCGGACGGGUGAGUAACACGUGAGCAACCUGCCUUUCAGAGGGGGAUAACGGCUGGAAACGGUCGCUAAUACCGCAUGAUGUGUUCGGAUGGCAUCAUCUGAACAUCAAAGAUUUAUCGCCGAAAGAUGGGCUCGCGUCUGAUUAGAUAGUUGGUGGGGUAACGGCCUACCAAGUCAACGAUCAGUAGCCGGACUGAGAGGUUGAACGGCCACAUUGGGACUGAGAUACGGCCCAGACUCCUACGGGAGGCAGCAGUGGGGAAUAUUGCACAAUGGGGGAAACCCUGAUGCAGCAACGCCGCGUGAAGGAUGACGGUUUUCGGAUUGUAAGCUUCUUUUCUUAGUGACGAAGACAGUGACGGUAGCUAAGGAAUAAGCAUCGGCUAACUACGUGCCAGCAGCCGCGGUAAUACGUAGGAUGCAAGCGUUAUCCGGAUUUACUGGGUGUAAAGGGAGCGCAGGCGGGACUGCAAGUUGGAUGUGAAAUACCGUGGCUUAACCACGGAACUGCAUCCAAAACUGUAGUUCUUGAGUGAAGUAGAGGCAAGCGGAAUUCCGAGUGUAGCGGUGAAAUGCGUAGAUAUUCGGAGGAACACCAGUGGCGAAGGCGGCUUGCUGGGCUUUAACUGACGCUGAGGCUCGAAAGUGUGGGGAGCAAACAGGAUUAGAUACCCUGGUAGUCCACACUGUAAACGAUGAUAGCUAGGUGUGGGGGGUCUGACCCCUUCCGUGCCGGAGUUAACGCAAUAAGCUAUCCACCUGGGGAGUACGACCGCAAGGUUGCAACUCAAAUGAAUUGACGG